rnacentral:misc_RNA from 1 species
GAAAUGCGAUAAUUAAUGUGAAUUGCAGAAUUCAGUGAAUCAUCGAGUCUUUGAACGCACAUUGCACCCCCUGGUAUUCCGGGGGGUAUGCCUGUCCGAGCGUCAUUGCUGCCCUCAAGCCCGGCUUGUGUGUUGGGUCCUCGUCCCCCCCCGGGGGACGGGCCCGAACGGCAGCGGCGGCACCGCGUCCGGUCCUCGAGCGUAUGGGGCUUUGUCACACCGCUCUCGUAGGCCCGGCCGGCGCUGGCCGACGCUGAAAAGCAACCAUUAUUUCUCCAGGUUGACCUCGGAUCAGGUAGGGAUACCCGCUGAACUUAAGC